CCAAUAGCGUAUAUUAAAGUUGUUGCAGUUAAAAAGCUCGUAGUUGAAUUUCGGGGUUCUUCCGUUGGUCAGGCUAACAAGUCUGUACUAGCGUGUAGAAUUCCUACCUUCUGGGGAACCAUCAUGUUAUUAAUUUAGCGUGGUGGGAAACCAGAACCUUUACCUUGAAAAAAUUAGAGUGUUCAAAGCAGGCUUACGUCUGAAUACAUUAGCAUGGAAUAAUAAAAUAGGACGGUGGUCCUGUUUUGUUGGUUUCUGAAUCACCGUAAUGAUUAAUAGGGAUAGUUGGGGGCAUUAGUAUUCAAUUGUCAGAGGUGAAAUUCUUGGAUUUAUUGAAGACUAACUUCUGCGAAAGCAUUUGCCAAGGAUGUUUUCAUUAAUCAAGAACGAAAGUUAGGGGAUCGAAGACGAUCAGAUACCGUCGUAGUCUUAACCAUAAACUAUGCCGACUAGGGAUCGGACGAUGUUAAAUUUUAUUGACUCGUUCGGCGCCUUACG
rnacentral:rRNA from 1 species